UUGAAAGUAGUGAGUUUACUAUCACUUGAGUGUUUUGUUUUGUUUUGUUUUAAGCUGGAUGACCUUCAAAUGUCAGGGAUGGUGUAGAAUGAAUGAAUUCAAGUCUUGUAUGGGUCCCUUUACCCUUACAGUUUUUGGAACCUAAGAAAACUCUGCACAUCAAUUUGGCCUGGAAGUUUUGAAAAUACUUUCCUUUUAUUAUUCACUAUAGUAACAAUUUUAACAGUUUUCUAUGAGUUUACAGCAAUAAAGAUGAUUCAUUAGAAACGUCUGUCACAGCUAUUCCUUUUUGUCCUUUUAGUUUAUAAAAUUGCAAUUAGCCAAGUAAAAUUACUUUAUCCUUGGGAUUUAUCAAACACACAUAUAUAUACUUUUUUUUUUUUUUGAUACAGAGUUUCACUCUUGUUGACCAGGAUGGAGUGCAAUGGCACAAGCUCAGCUCACUGCAACCUCUGCCUCCCGAGUUCAAGCGAAUCUCCUGCCUCAGCCUCCUGAGUAGCUGGGGAUUACAGGUGCCUGACACCAUGCCCAGCUAAUUUUUUGUAUUUUUAGUAGAAACGGGGUUUCACCAUGUUGGCCAGGCUGGUCUGGAACUCCUGAUCCACCUGCCUCAGCCUCCCAGAGUGUUGGUAUUACAGGCAUAAGCAACGGUGCCCAGCCAUAUAUAUAUAUAUAUUAUAUAUAUAUAUAUAAUAUAUAUAUAAUAUAUAAAUAUAUAAAAUAUAUAUAUGUAUAUAUAAUAUAUUUAUAUAUUAUAUAUAAAUAUUUAUACAUAUAUAAAUAUUAAAUAUAUAGAUAUUUAUACAUUUAUAAAUAUUUAUAUAACUAUAUAUAAAUAUAUAUAUUUAUAUAUAUAUUUUAAGAGACAGGGUCUCAUUCUGUUGCCCAGGCUGGUGUGUUAUGGCACUAUGAUAGCUCACUGCAGCCUUGAACUCCUGGCCAAAAGCCAUCCUUCUGCCCCAGUCUCCCAAAGUGUUGGAAUUACAGGCAUGAGCCACCAUGCCCGGCCUAUUCGGAGACUUUAAUUUCUAAACCUAGCUCCUUAUAUGGAAAAAAGUUAUAGUAAUGAGUUUUAAAUAAAAUAGCAUUCAUCAUUUCAUUUACUUUACAUGGGGUAAUUAUUUUGAAUUUUAUAAUAAUGAACACAACGUAGGUAAUUUUUGCCGUCAGGCAAAUUAGUGAGAAAAGAUACAUAUUUGUGCCUUCUGUUUGGUUAAAAUCCAUCUCACUGAAUGUGUGUGAGCAUGACAUUGAGUCUGCUAGGAAAAAUAAUAGUCAUUAUGAUCUUACUUGAAUGUUCACCUUUGCCUUUUUGCCCUUUAUAUCUGGGAGUUUUAAAGAUUAAGAUUUACUUUCUAGGCCAGGUGUGGUGGCUCAUGCCUGUAAUUCUAGCACUUUGGGAGGUUGAGGCAGGGCAGAUCACCUGAGGUCGGGCGUCCGAGGCGAGCCUGACCAACAUGGAGAAACCCCGUCUCUACUGAAAAUACAAAAUUAGCUGGGAGUGGUGGUGCAUGCCUGUAAUCCCACCUACUUGGGAGGCUGAGGCAGGAGAAUCACUUGAACCUGGGAGGUGGAGGUUGCGGUGAGCCGAGAUCAUGCCAUUGCACUCCAGCCUGGGCAACAAGAGCAAAACUCUGUCUCAAAAAAAAAAAAUUACUUUCUAUAAGGAAGGCUUACAUUUGAAUUGGGGCAAGAUGAGUUCCCAGCACAAGGCAUAGAGAAUUAAAAUGUUUGUCUUGGCCCAAACUCUUUUCUUUAUUUUACUUUGGAUUAGGAGUUUUUCUCAUGGUUAACAGGCCUCUCUCACAUUCCCAAACCCUACCAAACCCUAAGAGGCAGGUUGGGCCUCUCCCUCCCCUGACCUGUCAAGACUCCUCCAUAUGAAACCUUUUGGACUAUUAUUAUGUGGAAAAAGAGAACUUCCAUGAAGGGUCAGGCACUCCUCACUGAAGGAUCAGUGGAAGGCACUUCCAGAUUUAGGCCUUCCCAACAAUGGUGCCCUUUA
rnacentral:lncRNA from 1 species